GACGAACGCUGGCGGCGUGCUUAACACAUGCAAGUCGAACGGGAUUUAGUAAACAGCAGCCUCGGUGGAAGAUUACUAAUGAGAGUGGCGAACGGGUGAGUAACGCGUGAGCAACCUGCCUAUGACAGUGGGAUAGCCUCGGGAAACCGGGAUUAAUACCGCAUAAAAUCGUAGAAACACAUGUUUUAACGGUCAAAGAUUUAUCGGUCAUAGAUGGGCUCGCGUCUGAUUAGCUAGUUGGUGAGAUAACAGCCCACCAAGGCGACGAUCAGUAGCCGGUCUGAGAGGAUGAACGGCCACAUUGGAACUGAGACACGGUCCAAACUCCUACGGGAGGCAGCAGUGGGGAAUAUUGCACAAUGGGGGAAACCCUGAUGCAGCGACGCCGCGUGAACGAAGAAGGUAUUCGUAUCGUAAAGUUCUGUCCUAUGGGAAGAUAAUGACAGUACCAGAGAAGAAAGCUCCGGCUAAAUACGUG
rnacentral:rRNA from 1 species